UCAUGAAUCAAUUUUAUAGUUUUGUAUGUCACAUUAUUUUUUGAGAAGAGUCAUGACUGAACGCGGACCUUACACGCUGUUAUUUUUUUGUGUGCGUAUGGCCAAGGUACAGUGCGCUCUUUUGCACUAUGACCAGCCAUCAGUAAAUCGAAAUACAGUAAAAAAAAUGAGCGCGAAACCCUGACACUUUACAGAAAGGCACGGAUAUCCCCGCCCGAAGAAAAAAAGAACACAGGACAAUGGUUGCAAGUUAAACAGCUGAACAUUUCACCAUCUGCAAAGAACAUUUCACCAUCAACAUAUUAACAUAAACGGUUCUCUUUUUCUUGUUUGACUGCGUUUGGUACAGGUCACAACAACGACGGCAGAUGUAGAGACCACGCUUUCCCUUGCUUCCACUCCACGGCUGAUCAUGCUUGAGGAUCCAGAUCUACAAAACAAAAAAUGGAUGCUGCCGAUUGAAGGCUAAGUCCGAUUUCCUGUGAUUGACCUACCAUUUCUUCAGCUUUUGCUGUUCACUUUGGUUGCUACUACGUGCUCAACAUCGAGUACCAUGUGCAAGCAGCCACUACUUUGGAGUUUAUUCAGAGAUUUAUUGUGAGGAUCAGCCCCGACAACAGCAAGUGCUCCUCUAACUUCCAGGUGAGCAAAAGAAGUGGGAAGAUGGUGCAAAGGAAGAACUCUGGCCUGAACCAUCAUGUAUAUAUCCACCUUUAUUAAGGACUUUAUGAAUUAAGCAAAACUAUUAAGCAACUAAAGCAAAUACAUUCUACUCAACUCACCAGAGGUUUGUGAAGUUCUUUUUUUUCUUAAAGGUUUCUUUUAGUUAAUUUGUCCAUGCACUGAUUUAUAAUAUUGUAAUAUGAAACUCCAGUGUAUACAUGUUACUACUGUUGCUUCUAAAAGCAAAAUAAGUCUAUGCAGGAGAGGUUUUGUUACGUUUUUUUUUUUUAAAUUAUUCUUAUAGACGGUUUCAUCGGACGCACAUGACACACGUCUGGAUCCGAUCCUUACUUCCGGUUUCGCUUUUUUAAUGGUCUGACUAGUUGCUAAACUGAUCUCUUGAACAAAAGCCUCGUUGAAAAUAACAAAUGUUUUGGUUUCCGAGCUAAUCUAUGUGUUGUUUUUUUGCUUGUUAUAUAAAUAAAAUGCGUUUAAAGAACUUUGUUGUUUUUUAUUCUUAGCGGAGUUUAUCGGAAGUUCAUGCGGACCGCGACAGCCGCUUGUUUAUGAUGUUACUGCUGAAACCGUCUAUAGUUAUAACUGAAUUUGUACUAGUAUUAUUUGAUAAUACUGUGAAAUGAAACAGUGAGUAAAUGUUACAUUGGCUUUGAAAAAGCUGUUGCUGCAAGAAAUUACAAUUUACUCAGAAUAAUAUUUUGAAUGUAUAAGUUUUUGACAUUGCUUAUGACUGCAUUUGAAUGUAUUGUUCAUGAAUUGAUGCUUUGAUAUGUGUGUGUAAAUGUUUUGUAUUUUACUCAGGAAAGUAUUUUGUAUUUGAACAUUGUUAUUAUGACUGAGUUAGUUCAUGACUUGAUUUAAAAUUCUGUAAUAUGAUAUCUAUGAGUAAAUGUUAUUGCAGGUUUAAGAAAAACAGUUUGUGAUGCAAGCUGAAAGUUCAGUGUGCAAAAAAUAUGAAAAUCUGAUUUCAUGUAUUUGAAAAACUAAAA